rnacentral:rRNA from 1 species
GAAUCCCGUGAACCAUCGAGUCUUUGAACGCAAGUUGCGCCCGAAGCCUUCGGGCCGAGGGCACGCCUGCCUGGGCGUCACGCAUCGCGUCGCCCCCCUCCUCCGCCCGCGCUCCGAGCGCGGACGGGGUGCGGGGGUGCGGAGACUGGCCUCCCGUGCGCCCCCGUCGCGCGGCCGGCCC